rnacentral:rRNA from 1 species
CUGGCGGCGUGCUUAACACAUGCAAGUCGAACGGACGAUGAAGAGCUUGCUUUUCAAAGUUAGUGGCGGACGGGUGAGUAACGCGUGGGUAACCUGCCUCAUACAGGGGGAUAGCAGCUGGAAACGGCUGAUAAAACCGCAUAAGCGCACAGCAUCGCAUGAUGCAGUGUGAAAAACUCCGGUGGUAUGAGAUGGACCCGCGUCUGAUUAGCUGGUUGGUGAGGUAACGGCCCACCAAGGCGACGAUCAGUAGCCGGCCUGAGAGGGUGACCGGCCACAUUGGGACUGAGACACGGCCCAAACUCCUACGGGAGGCAGCAGUGGGGAAUAUUGCACAAUGGGGGAAACCCUGAUGCAGCGACACCGCGUGAGCGAAGAAGUAUUUCGGUAUGUAAAGCUCUAUCAGCAGGGAAGAAGAAAUGACGGUACCUGACUAAGAAGCACCGGCUAAAUACGUGCCAGCAGCCGCGGUAAUACGUAUGGUGCAAGCGUUAUCCGGAUUUACUGGGUGUAAAGGGAGCGUAGACGGAGUGGCAAGUCUGAUGUGAAAACCCGGGGCUCAACCCCGGGACUGCAUUGGAAACUGUCAAUCUAGAGUACCGGAGAGGUAAGCGGAAUUCCUAGUGUAGCGGUGAAAUGCGUAGAUAUUAGGAGGAACACCAGUGGCGAAGGCGGCUUACUGGACGGUAACUGACGUUGAGGCUCGAAAGCGUGGGGAGCAAACAGGAUUAGAUACCCCUGGUAGUCCACGCCGUAAACGAUGACUACUAGGUGUCGGGCAGCAAAGCUGUUCGGUGCCGCAGCAAACGCAAUAAGUAGUCCACCUGGGGAGUACGUUCGCAAGAAUGAAACUCAAAGGAAUUGACGGGGACCCGCACAAGCGGUGGAGCAUGUGGUUUAAUUCGAAGCAACGCGAAGAACCUUACCUGCUCUUGACAUCUCCCUGACCGGCAAGUAAUGUUGCCUUUCCUUCGGGACAGGGAUGACAGGUGGUGCAUGGUUGUCGUCAGCUCGUGUCGUGAGAUGUUGGGUUAAGUCCCGCAACGAGCGCAACCCCUAUCUUUAGUAGCCAGCGGUUCGGCCGGGCACUCUAGAGAGACUGCCAGGGAUAACCUGGAGGAAGGUGGGGAUGACGUCAAAUCAUCAUGCCCCUUAUGAGCAGGGCUACACACGUGCUACAAUGGCGUAAACAAAGGGAGGCAGAACCGCGAGGUCGAGCAAAUCCCAAAAAUAACGUCUCAGUUCGGAUUGUAGUCUGCAACUCGACUACAUGAAGCUGGAAUCGCUAGUAAUCGCGAAUCAGAAUGUCGCGGUGAAUACGUUCCCGGGUCUUGUACACACCGCCCGUCACACCAUGGGAGUCAGUAACGCCCGAAGUCAGUGACCCAACCGUAAGGAGGGAGCUGCCGAAGGUGGGACCGAUAACUGGGGUGAAGU